ensembl:lincRNA
AUGAGGGGUCCUGGAUGGCACUGUCUGGUCCCUGCAGGUGACCUCCCUGGCCACAGCUCCAGCUCUUUCCUUCCCACCAGCUUCAAAGACUGUUUUGCCUGCCAGCCCCAGCCCUUGGCGCAGAGAGGAGUGCACGAGCCAUGGGACCAUGCAGGGAUUGCUUUAGGCUAUGAGGUCAGGACCACACCGCCUAGAGGAACAUGUGGGCAAACCAGUCUCCAGGGUGAUGGUGUGACAGAGGUGACCAGCAUGUACCCCGCGGGGCUUCCUCCCCAUCUCCCUGCCCCCAGCCUCACACUGUGCCCCCGAGCCUGCUCAUGGUGGCAUGGCUGCCCAUUCACCUCCAAUCCUGCCAGGACAUUGGCUUCCUCCACUCUAGACCCCUCCUGCUCCUCCUGGCUCCCCCAGGCCCGUUGUGAUCAUGUCCAUGCUGGACUGGCCUGGGCUCCCUUCCUCCUGCAUAGCCGGCCGUCUAUCCCCCUCCGUCCAUAGCGCCCUCACUGAGCAGGGUGGUUGUCUGCAUGGUGCCCUCCAGGGAUGCACAGAGCCAUUGCCUCACCCUGUCCAGCUCUUGCCCCAGGGAGAAGAGGCUGGAAGGGCAUGUGCAGCUGUGGGCUUGGUGGCAGCUGCCCUGAUGCGGUCUCUCUCUCCUCACCUCCAGGAUGGCUCUAGCCAAGCCUCUGCUGCUUGACUUGUUCCCAUGCAGCCGCUGUGCUGCUUCCUCCAGGCAGCCAGAGGUAGGCGCUGUUCCCUCCAUAGUGAUGGGAGGCAGAGCCCCAGGGCCAGGCUGCAGGUGCAGGUGCAGGUGCUCUGGACUCUUGGCUCACAGGAGCACACACCAGGGAUGAGACGAGUGGGACAGGGUGAGUGUGCUCUGGCCCCACUGCUGUGGCAUCAAGGGCAGUGGCUGGGGACUCACAGUGCCUGGCAUGGGAACAGAUCCAGGUCAGAGCUGGAGCUGCAGGUGGCUGCAUUGUCCUCUCAGCACACCUGACCCAGGCCCAAGAGCCUACAGCUCAUGCAUUGCUCACCCCUCAGCUUGGCCCCUUCCUGGGGACUGGCAGUGCCUGCUGCCCUCCAGCCCUGACACACUCACUGCAGACAUGCCUUUGGUGACCAGGCUGCUGUCCCCGGGUUCACACCACACCACCAGAGUAGAAAGGAGGCCGUUCCAGACUGCUUCCCCACACACACAGCAUUGGUCUCCCUGGCUCCUCACUGGGAUGUGGCGCUGCACAGAGGCUUCGCCCUGGGGUGCCAGCCCAAUGUGGGCACCAUUUGCACCCGUCUCUCACUGGGUGUCGCACCCUGGCCUCCCUUGUCUCCUGUGGCCCCCCUUAUAUGGCAGUUCACCCUUCCACCACUUUAAAGGGGUCUGGUGAGCACACCAGCCCUGUGUGGCACCAAGGACCCUCAGCACGUGUCCCUCCUCCAUCACCAGAUGCUGUCGCAUUGGUGUCACUCGGCACACGCAGAGGCCAGGUGUGCAGUCGUCCCUGCCAUCCACCCAGGCACACGGGGCCAUAAGGCCACAGAUGAUCCCAAGUUCUGGCCAGGGAGCAGGGGUUCUUGGAACCUGAUGAACUUGGCUCACAGGACUGUGGGGCCAUCCGGAGAUCAGAAAUUUUCCAUCCAAUCACUGGUGGCGUCUCCUGAGUGCCAUGCCAGCACACAGCUCUGCCUACAGGCAUGCGUGCCAGCCCCUGCCAGCCUGAGGCUGCAAGGCAGAGGCUGCAGUUUUUUCCUUGAAAGGUAGGCAGCCUCGCAGAGACAGGCCAGCCCUCCCAGAGUGGGUGGGACAGACCCUGCUAGGCCGAGCCAUGGGCCAUGCCAGACAGGCGUCCUGCGACCUCCUCCCUUGCAUGCAGGGUGACAGGCAAUGAGUGGCCUUCCUUGCAGCUUCAAGGGCUGGGGAUUUAGUUCAGUGGUUCUGCUGCUUGCUUCACAGGUGCAAGGUCCCAAGUUUGAUCCCCAGUACCAAAAAAAAAAAAAAAAAAAAAAAAAAAAAAAAAAAAAAAAGGCAGCUUCGGGAAAAGCUCCAGAGCUUGAAGGCUUUUUUUUUGAAACAAGGUCUUGAACUCAUGGCAGUCCUGCUGCCUUAGUGUCCCAAGAGCUGAAAUCACAGGUGUGCACACCACACCCGGCUCCUAAAGCUCUUACCCUCCUGGAAGGCCUGGCUCGAGUGAGGCAGCAGUGCAAGGUCCAUGGCUCGGGAGGGAAGAGGGUCGGGCCAGGGCUGCUGCUGUCUUCUGGGCCAUCUUGGUGGGGUGGGAAUCAGCUUUCUUGCUAGCAUGCAACCCAGGGCGGUGGGCAGAGCUUGCCUUGAAGGCAGACAUUUUUCACAGGGCUUGGCAAGAAGAAAGAUUCAGUCAGAGACUUAAAAAAUGAGGCAUCUGGUCUGGGAAUUUAGCUCAGUGGCGCCUGCGCUUACCUCGCAAGCACAAGGUCCUGAGUUCGAUCUCCAGUGCCAGAAAAAAGGAAAAAAAAAACAAAACAGAUUUUAUACGGCACAGGAAAUGAGAUGGCUUCAGACUCAUCCCCAUAAGCAUGGCGACCCAGGCAUGUGGCUGAGGGUCUCGCUUGCUCAGUGCUUUUCGGAAGCACCAGAGCCGGGCACCUCCUGUCCUAUUGCGGCCAACCCGCUUGUCUUCCUGGACGGCAGAGGCUCCACUGGCCAUGCCCAGGACAGCUGACCCUCUCAUCCCAUGUCCCUGAGGGGACUGCCAUCCUCUGCUAGGGACUGGGUGACAGAUACUGUCAUCUCACACAGUGCUAAGCACCCGAGGGCCACACAGCAGGGCCAGCCCCAGGCCAGGCAAUCACCACCUCUGUUCAGAGGGGACCAGAAGUUCAAAUAUCCCCUGGCAUCUAGUUUCUCACCACUGGAGAUUGAAGCAGCUUCUCUACUGGCCACAUCCUUUUCUUUUUUGGAGACAGGGUCUUGCUAAAUUGCCCAGGCUGGGCUCAGAUUUGCAGUCCUCCUGCCUCAGCCUCCCAGAGCAUUGGGAUUACAGGAAUGCACCAGCAUGCAUGGCUCCCAUAUUCUUUUUUUUUUUUUUUUGUGCCCGGGAUUGAAAUC